CGAUUAUCAUGUUACCAGCGUUCAGCGUCUCCGAAGGAUGUCAGGCACUCGGACACUUAAGCUAUUCAGCUAGAAAAUUACCAAGGCUUGAAAUAGCACUCUGUAUUAUUUUAUUCAUAAAUAAAAUAGCUUGAAACAGCUGAAUAAUGUACUGAAACAUUUUCCAUUAUCAGUCUGAUUUGGGAAAAAAUUAUCGUAGAAAAUUCUCUGAGAAGCUAAAAGGAC